UCCUGGUUAGCUCAGUUGGUAGAGCGACUGCCCCGAAAAGGUGUUGGUCCUGGGUUCGAUCCCCAGACCAGAGUGAA